GGACUACCAGGGUUUCUAAUCCCGUUUGCUCCCCUGGCUUUCGCGCCUCAGCGUCAGAAAAGGUCCAGCAGCUCGCUUUCGCCACCGGCGUUCCUUCCGAUAUCAACGCAUUUCACCGCUCCACCGGAAGUUCCAGCUGCCCCUACCUCCCUCCAGACCGCCAGUAUCCAGGGCCAUUGUCCGGUUGGGCCGAACGAUUUCACCCCGGACUUGGCAGUCCGCCUACGCGCCCUUUAAGCCCAGUGAUUCCGAACAACGUUCGCACGGUUCGUCUUACCGCGGCUGCUGGCAC
rnacentral:rRNA from 1 species